rfam:Spinacia oleracea cultivar SynViroflay scaffold2664.con0003.1, whole genome shotgun sequence.
GAGAUAAGAGACUGCCAGGGUAGCCAAGGAUGACCUGCCUCCAAAUUCUCACUAAAGGGAUACUCAAUCUUCAUUUUUUUUUACUUUUCUCGAAAGCACUUGGGUGACCUGCAGCCUUUCUGUGUAAUGUGGAUCAUUGUUGGCAUGAUUUUAAAGUAGAAUAGGCUUUCUGUGUGUAGAAACCCUCUUUAGAGUUGCAGGCAAGUCAUCCUUGGCUGUCUGAAAUGACUCUGCAUCC